GUGCUUGCCUUGGCAGCACAUUUGCUAAAAUUGGCAUGAUACAGAGAAGAUUAGCAUGGCCCCCGUGCAAGGAUGACCUGCAAAUUCAUGAAGCAUCCCAUGUUUUU
rnacentral:snRNA from 1 species